rnacentral:rRNA from 1 species
UUGGAGGGCAAGUCUGGUGCCAGCAGCCGCGGUAAUUCCAGCUCCAAUAGCGUAUAUUAAAGUAGUUGCAGUUAAAAAGCUCGUAGUUGAAUUUCGGGGUCAGUAGGUCGGUCGUGCCACUGGUAUGAACUGGUUUUACUGAUUCCUCCCUCUUGAAGAACUGUAAUGCCAUUAAUUUGGUGUUGCAGGGAAUCAGGACUGUUACUUUGAAAAAAUAGAGUGUUUAAAGCAGGCUUUAGCUUGAAUACAUUAGCAUGGAAUAAUGAAAUAGGACGUUUGAUCCUAUUUUGUUGGUUUCUAGGAUUGACGUAAUGAUUAAUAGGGAUAGUUGGGGGCAUCAGUAUUCAAUUGUCAGAGGUGAAAUUCUUGGAUUUAUUGAAGACUAACUACUGCGAAAGCAUUUGCCAAGGAUGUUUUCAUUAAUCAAGAACGAAAGUUAGGGGAUCGAAGACGAUCAGAUACCGUCGUAGUCUUAACCAUAAACUAUGCCGACUAGGGAUCGGAUGAUGUUAAUUUUUUAAUGACUCAUUCGGCGCCUUACGGGAAAC